rnacentral:rRNA from 1 species
UGGGGAAUAUUGCACAAUGGGCGCAAGCCUGAUGCAGCCAUGCCGCGUGUAUGAAGAAGGCCUUCGGGUUGUAAAGUACUUUCAGCGAGGAGGAAGGCGUUGUGGUUAAUAACCGCAGCGAUUGACGUUACUCGCAGAAGAAGCACCGGCUAACUCCGUGCCAGCAGCCGCGGUAAUACGGAGGGUGCAAGCGCUAAUCGGAAUUACUGGGUGUAAAGCGCACGCAGGCGGUCUGUCAAGUCGGAUGUGAAAUCCCCGGGCUCAACCUGGGAACUGCAUCCGAAACUGGCAGGCUAGAGUCUUGUAGAGGGGGGUAGAAUUCCAGGUGUAGCGGUGAAAUGCGUAGAGAUCUGGAGGAAUACCGGUGGCGAAGGCGGCCCCCUGGACAAAGACUGACGCUCAGGUGCGAAAGCGUGGGGAGCAAACA